rnacentral:RNase_P_RNA from 1 species
GAUGGUCGCUUUUAAGAAAUUAAAAGAGGAAAGUCCAUGCUCACACAGACUGAGAUGUCUGUAACGUUUGUGCCACUUUAAUUCAUAAAGGUGGGCAGUGUAAACUGACGGCAAAAAGUAGACCUAAGGGCAACUAUGGCUACUUGAUAAAGCACCACAGAGACGAGCUGACUGGAAACGGUCAGAUGAAACGAGGCAAGCCCCUCAAGUGAGAAACUCAAAUUUGGUAGAGGAGUCUACAAAAAAGAAUUCAAUUUUGCGUAGGAUGUCGCAAGACAUAGAUAAAUGACCAUCCACGACAGAACAUGGCUUAUU